rnacentral:rRNA from 1 species
UACGUAGGGGGCAAGCGUUAUCCGGAUUCACUGGGUGUAAAGGGAGCGUAGACGGCGACGCAAGUCUGGAGUGAACGCCCGGGGCCCAACCCCGGGACUGCUCUGGAAACUGCGGCGCUGGAGUACGGGAGGGGCAGGCGGAAUUCCUGGUGUAGCGGUGAAAUGCGUAGAUAUCAGGAGGAACACCAGUGGCGAAGGCGGCCUACUGGACGGUGACUGACGCUGAGGCUCGAAAGCGUGGGGAGCAAACAGG